UACGAAGGGGGCUAGCGUUGCUCGGAAUCACUGGGCGUAAAGGGUGCGUAGGCGGGUCUUUAAGUCAGGGGUGAAAUCCUGGAGCUCAACUCCAGAACUGCCUUUGAUACUGAGGAUCUUGAGUUCGGGAGAGGUGAGUGGAACUGCGAGUGUAGAGGUGAAAUUCGUAGAUAUUGGGAAGAACACCGGUGGCGAAGGCGGCUCACUGGUCCGGUACUGACGCUGAGGUGCGAAAGCGUGGGGAGCAAACAGG
rnacentral:rRNA from 1 species